UGGGAAAAAUGUCUUGUUAUAAGUGAAAUAGUCUGCCAAUGUAACUAGUACUUUCUCAUCAAAAAUAAGGAAUUAUUUUCUUAUAGAAAGCUCCUAUCUCUUGCUGAAUGGUUACUUAUAAGUUUGUUUUUGUCUUAUUUCAAGUGUACUAAAAUAUUUGCACUAGAAAUUAGGCAAA